ensembl:lncRNA
CAACAGGACACAUAAACUGUUAGUGCCUUGUCUGGAACAAGGAAAGUGGUCAAUAAAUGUAGUUUCUUUCAGAAGCAGAAGGAAAAGCUGUGUUUCAGGAAUGGUUUCAUGUCAGUAAAAACAAUUAUAGAUGACCUUCAUAGUUCCAGGCACAGUUAGAGAUACGGAGCUACACCUGUCCCAACUAUCAGAGUAGAAUCCAGCAAGGGUCUGAGCUGUGUGGCCCAAAUAGCCACCACCCAAAGCUCUGCAUGAUAAAGGCUGUGAGAAUUGCGAGCCCGACGUACCAGGGGAGUUCAGAGAAGGGAGCGAUUUCAAUUUUCUUUGAGUAUUGACUUGCUACUGCAUGGUAACUGUAGUAUCUUCUAAGAAUGACAGUCAGGGCUAAUGAAUCACUCCAUUUAGCUGUGGCAACAGCAAGGCAAAGAAAUAUCUUCAAGGGCCCAGACAUUAUUUUUCCAGCCUUGUUCCAGGGAUAUAACGUGCUUAGAAGUUAUGACAAAUUAGCUGCUGGUGGCAAAUCUACGUGGAACCUUCCUAAAAAAUGGAAGUUCCGUCCUGAGUUAAUGGGUUGUUAUUGGCAAGGGAAAUAAAAUUUGAUAAGGAGGGUGGGUCCUGGCAUGGAAGGACCUUCAAAAGCAGCAGAAGAUUUUACAUUUGACUCAGGAAGCCCAGGGAUGAGCAAAUGGGAGAGGCAUGGACCAGACCUCCAUUGAGUCACAGGCCAUUUCUGUAUUUCAGUGUCCCAACAGUCAGUUUACGCAUGAAGGCUGAGGGCACUGUCCCCAGACCAUUGUACAGGGUAAGGGAAAAGAAGUAAAGGAGACUUAAUUUUUUAAAAAAGAAACUAUAGAUGUGAGGAGAAUGCUAUUUUUUAACCAUGCUAAUUUUUUUUAUUGCCAAUCUUGUCUUCCUAGGAUGGAACAUCUCUUAAUUUCAUGCUGCCAUGUUUGUGCUUCCAGGUACCUGAGGUACAUUCAGAAAGGCCAGACUCUGGGUUCCUUCUGGCAUUGGGAGGAAGAAGGCAUCCCGGAAGUCAAGACUCUGAACACAUCUUCCUCAAGUACAUCCUACCUAAAGGAAACUCUUGCUUGGCACUGUUGGUUGUUCUGAAAGAAGAGAAAAUCCAGCAAACCACUGACCAUUUCAUUUUGCUGGUAAGUACCUGUUCUUUCCCAUCUCUUGACUCUUUCUUUCUGUUUCCACGUCAACAUCCUUAUCGUCUCCAAACAACAGAGAAAAUAGAAGAUAGAGACCUAGUAUCUGUAAGAUUGAAGCAAAUGAUGAUUAAUAUGUUCAUAUCUACCCUCUACUUGUGCUUAACAGCCUGUAAUUCUCUUUGAUAUCACUGACCACAGUACUACAUCACUUACUAUUAUUCUGAUAUAUAAAUUGUUUCAAGUCUAUUUCCCCUACUCCAUCCCAGACUAUAAAUCUCCAUGAGUGCAGGGGUUUGUCUUCAUUUGUCAUAGGGCCCUCAGCACCUAGCACAGUGCCUGGCACCCAGUGGUCCACAAACACUUAUUAAACAGAUGAAAUAGUACAUCUAUUUUACUCAUCCUGCUUCUUUUUGUGUUUGUUAUCUAUUUUGGUAUUUGAAAGGACAGUACUUCUCUAUAUUAUCUCAUAUGAUCACCUUUACUUUUUCAAUUUAAAAAAGGAUUUCUCAUCUCUAUGGUUGAGAUAUAUGUGCUUUGAUUUUCUGUUCUGUUCAUCUUGUUUACAAAAAAAUCGAUGGCUUGAACAAUGGUAUUGAUAACAUCCUGAACAAAUACACAAAUUCAUAAAGCUGGGAGGGAUGGGGAUUAAGAUUGGCUGAAUCUAUCAAUAUGGGAUUAAAUACACACAAAUGUAAAGCUCUUCUUCUGGGUUCAAAAAGAAACAACUGUGCAAAUGGUAGAGCAAAAUUUGUACUUCAGUGACAAACUGCAUUAUUUAGGACACACUAUUCUGGGUUAUCUAAUUCUGACUCUAUGGAGAUCGUGCAUCUUUCAUUGCCUUUGAGCUAUUUUACAUUUAUAUGAAUUGUAGAUAACAUAGCCGUGUGAAAUAAUUCUUGUC